GAAACUUUUGGGAGCUGUCAAUCAGGGCCCCAUCAGCUGACUGUCAGCUGGGCGAGCCUUAACCCCUUCCUGCCCGCCGCCACCGCCGGACGCACCGGCAACUCGCAGAUGCAAAUAAAAGCCGCGCUCUCUUUGAAGACACGUUCUUUAUAUAUUUUUAUUGGAGGUAAUUUACUAUUUGCAUUACCUGUAUUUACUUCAUAAUUGAACAUUUUGCAUUCAAAUUUAUGGAACGCGCUCCGCUCGAGAAUGUAUUUCUCCCCGAUUAGCAUAAAUAGUCACUUACCUCAUGAAUUACUAACAAAGUUUAUCUGAAAAUAUAGGUGUCUUUUUUAUUAAGUGGAGCACCAACAUAUGUACCACGAAUCCCAAUUUGCUGGUGGUGCUGUGGUGUCGGAGAAGAGGGAACAGAAGCAGCGGCAAACAAGCGCCAUCGAUUAAUAUCUGUAUGAGUGUGACAAUAAUUGCUUCUGCCGAUGCUUUGCUAAUUGUUAAUAACGAGCCGACGACUCAAAGUUUCCUGCAGAAGGAGCAGAAAGAAGGGAACCUCCUCGGUGGGUUUCCCCCCUCGUUGCCCCAUGCUUGCUGAUGGCCGGGGCUCGCUCGGGGCUCCCUGCUCACUGUUGGGAUUGUUUCUCUCUUCCCCUUAAUCCUGUUUUUAUGCUCAGCUGCAAAUCCCAAUAAUGGAUAUGAUUUAGGCCCAUCCUCCUGUAUUAACACGACCCUACUUAGACAAAAGACACCCGAACCCUAUCGACUGCCGGAUUGAAUCCUUCAUCCCAUGGAAGCCAACAACAAAACUUCCAUUGAUUUCAGUGGUCCUGGCUGGCAGCAAUUUGUUUGUGUCAAAGGGCCGUGGCUGCAAAAACUGAGAGCUGUCAGCCAGCAGGGAAUGAGGUCUGCUCCCCACUGACUUCCCCACAUUCCCACUGACUUCUGGUGGAGCUCCAUAUACCAGGUGCUGACAUAUACGUGUGUUUUGUCUGGGUGCAAUGAGCACAUCCCUUAAUGUAUCACGGCAAAACGAGCUGCUUUCAGUGCUCUCACUUUUCCUGUGCUUGGGCAAUCCAUUCCCGUGACUGCAGCUUGCUGCCCCAUCCACUGCUCUUUUAUUUUAAAGCUGAGAAAAUCUUCCUUUUAAACUCAUGCUGAGCAUCAAAUUGGACUCCACUUGCAGCUGAACAUCUUGGCUUCCUGUUCCCCAGCCGCUCUGGUAUAUUUUAUGUAGAAUUCUCUCUGCUAAUGCAACUUGCUUUCCCUCUCUGUUCUCUUUUCAGUUUUGCAUCGGAGUUGCCGAAUCCAUCGUUUCCACUGCUUGCUUAUCGUGUUUCUGAAACACUCAAACUAUCCUAAAUAACUUCGUAUGAUCCAGAAGGAACUUCUCUCUCUGGCUGGAGGUUGGCGCCACCAGGUUUGUGCUGUGCUCACCCUAUGAUGCAUGUCCCAUUUUACUCAUUUCCAUGAAUGGCUCGGCCUGGAUGUAAAAAUCAAUACAGACAUCCCUGAUGCCAAAAACCUAUUUGUCUAAAAGAUAUAAAAAGUGAAAUUGCAAUAAAGAUUUUUAUCAGGCUU